UCGGAUGCUUAACCGACUAAGCCACCCAGGCGCCCCGGAGAUGUUCACUUUAUCUGGAGUAGAGAAUUAUCUGUGGAUUGAAAUUAUCCAUGUUCAGACACCUUGAUGGAGUAUUGUGUGGCCAGAGCUGUGGGUACAGAGAGGAAGAAAUUGUGGUCCCUGCCCCCCAAGAACUCACAGAACCAUCGAAUUUAAAGCAAAAAGAGGAAAUGGGUGAUUACAACCCAAUGUGUUAAGUGUGACAAUAAUAAUAGCUGACAUUUAUGAAGUA